rnacentral:miRNA from 1 species
UUUCAGUUCCUGUCUGGAACUUUCAUCAGGAUCAAACAGUUGUUUGAUCCUGAUGAAAGUUCCAGACAGGAACU